AAUAACAUAUCAGAAACUAGACAAUUGGAAUGCCAUUCUUCAACAAGCUGCUUGAAUUGCUCUUGCAUCAUAGCUGUUACUUUAAAGAAGUUGUUUACCAAAUCAGGAGAAGGGAUGAAAUCGAGACGCUCACAUCCUUCAGGCAAGUUGUUCUACACAGCUUGAAAUUUUAUCAAACGGAUGUCUAUUUCGUUACCCAAAUGCUUUUUCUUUCAACAGCUUUGGAGAAAACUGAUUCAUUGAGAUUAUGGUGGCCUUAACACCGCGUGAAGCCACGAGUUUAGCCAUGUCAAGUGUAGGGAUCAUGUGGCCAUGAGCCAUCAAGGGAAAGAAGAAAAAAUGAAGUUGACUCAUG
rnacentral:lncRNA from 1 species